GUUGAGCGAGAACCAGAGGGCUUGCUCUUUGGGGAAAGCAGCGCACGGGUGAGCAACGCGUGGAUAACGUGCCCUAGGGUUGGGGAUAACCCACCGAAAGGUGGGCUAAUACCGAAUGUGUUCCCGAGAGGUUUGCCUUUUGGGAAGAAAGUGGGGUAACCCACGCCCAAGGAUCGGUCCGCGUUCCAUCAGUUUGUUGGUGGGGUAAUGGCCUACCAAGACUACGACGGAUAGCUGGUCUGAGAGGAUGAUCAGCCACACUGGGACUGAGACACGGCCCAGACUCCUACGGGAGGCAGCAGUGGGGAAUAUUGGUCAAUGGGCGAAAGCCUGAACCAGCAAUGCCGCGUGAGUGAUGAAGGCCUUCGGGUUGUAAAGCUCUGUCAGUGGGAACGAAUAAGCCGGUUAAUACCCGGUGGUGACGGUACCCACAAAGGAAGCACCGGCUAACUCUGUGCCAGCAGCCGCGGUAAUACAGAGGGUGCAAGCGUUGUUCGGAAUUACUGGGCGUAAAGCGCGUGUAGGCGGUCUAGCAAGUCGGUCGUGAAAUCCCUUGGCUUAACCAAGGAACUGCGUUCGAAACUACUGGACUAGAGUAUCGGAGGGGGUGGCGGAAUUCCCGGUGUGGAGGUGAAAUUCGUAGAUAUCGGGAGGAACACCUGUGGCG
rnacentral:rRNA from 1 species